UUAAAAAUAAGCUAAAUAAAGCUUUUGGGUUCAUACCUCAAAUAUAAAGAUAUAUCUUUUUUUUAAA
rnacentral:tRNA from 1 species